rnacentral:lncRNA from 1 species
AUAAUAAAAAAAAUUGAAUUUAUAGUAUCUUCUUUGGUUUUCUAAAUUUUUCCUUUUCUUGAGCCAAAUUAAAAUUUUUUCCAAAGACUUAGGAUAAUAGCUCACUUAGAAAGUAUAUAGGUUAAGAAAAGACGAGAGGCUAAGUUAAGGAAAUUAGGGAAUUUUACAACAAAAUUGGUAUUUUUCCAACACCCAGAAGUCUCCCUAGUAUAGAUAUCAAUUUGAAUAACCAUUGUGCCAAAAUCUCCUGAUUUAAAUUUGUGGAAUCCUUUAGUAGUUUAUCUAUCCAGUCGGACACCAUCUAUAAAGUCACACAUUAAGUAGGUUUGUCGAUGAAUAUAAGCGAAUCAUCUAAGCAAAUUUUUAAGGUCAUACUGUG